CAGUCGCCACGGUAAUACGUAGGUGGCAAGCGUUGUCCGGAAUUAUUGGGCGUAAAGCGCGCGCAGGCGGAUCAGUCAGUCUGUCUUAAAAGUUCGGGGCUUAACCCCGUGAUGGGAUGGAAACUGCUGAUCUAGAGUAUCGGAGAGGAAAGUGGAAUUCCUAGUGUAGCGGUGAAAUGCGUAGAUAUUAGGAAGAACACCAGUGGCGAAGGCGACUUUCUGGACGAAAACCGACGCUGAGGCGCGAAAGCCAGGGGAGCGAACGGGAUUAGAUACCCGCGUAGUCCCUGUCUCUUAUACC
rnacentral:rRNA from 1 species